AGAUAUAUUCUGUUUCUUGUCCCCCAUUGAGUCAAGAAUAAUUUAACUUUUGGCAUAAGAAACUACUAAAGAAAACAGGUUGAAUAAGCUAAUAUUUUUCUUCUUUUUGCAGGAUAUAGAAGACUUAGAUCACUAUGAGAUGAAAGAAGAGCGUAUUAGUGGGAAAAAGUUGGAGGAUGAAGGAAUUGAAAAAGAAAAUUGGGUGAUAUUAGAGAAAAUUAGGAAGACUGAAAGGUUGACCCUGAUAGUCCCUUGCACAGUGAUCUUCAGAUCUUAA
ensembl:lncRNA